rnacentral:piRNA from 1 species
AACAGGCAAACUGAGUAUGGGCAGAUCUAU